AAACCAUGAUGAGGACAAGCAUUUAACAGAUCUUUGAACAUUUCCCAACAUUGAUAAAAUUUCUCAACAUCCUUUUGGCCAAAAUUCAUAAUCUAUCUUUUAAGGGC